rnacentral:rRNA from 1 species
CUGCUCCUACGGGGCGCAGCAGUGGGGAAUAUUGCACAAUGGGGGAAACCCUGAUGCAGCGACGCCGCGUGAGUGAAGAAGUAUUUCGGUACGUAAAGCUCUAUCAGCAGGGAAGAAAUAAAGUCCUUUGGACUUUGGACGGUACCUGACUAAGAAGCCCCGGCUAACUACGUGCCAGCAGCCGCGGCAAUACGUAGGGGGCAAGCGUUAUCCGGAUUUACUGGGUGUAAAGGGAGCGUAGGCGGCAGCGCAAGCCU